AGCGCCUCCGCAAAAGGACCAUGUGGCUAAAUCAACCAUAAAUGCCGAACUACAUUGCCCGGAGCGAGGGCUCCACAAAGGACCACGAGGCGUGGCAUCCAUGAUCAUUGGACUUCUGUGUAAAAGUUAAUCUGAUGCUACUAUUUAAGCAAAGACCGACACCUUGAAUCCCUCAUUGAGUGCCUCAGCAUAUACUUCUUUUGAGCUCUGAUUUUGAAGAUGUCGACAAGCAGGAAGCAAUGUUCUAUCGCGGUGUUGCUGCUGCUAGUGCUCGUCCAACUCAUCGGUGCUCUCGCUCGACCUCCAUGCGAUUAUCUUCGUCCAGGAACCUGUCACUAUAACAAACCAUGAGGUGAAGCUGGAAAAUUGUGUGGAUGCUGCUUCGUUGGGUUAUAUUGCCUUAUUGGAUUAUUCGGUUUCUUUAUAGAAAUAUCCGUACUGUUCAGUUUGUUGGCAAUCUAAAAUAUGUAAAGUUUAAAAUCUCUCUAGGGUGCUUUUUGACGGAAUUCUGAAUCCAUUGUUAAUUUUGGUGACCAGUAUUUCCUAGUACAAACGUUUACUUCUAUGGGACA